UCCAAAAAAAAUCAAAAAUGAAUUCAAAUAACUUGUUUCUUGAAGAGCCCAUGCGAAUGGCUUCUAUUCUUGAGCCAUCAAAGCCUAGUUUCUUUCCUGCAAUGACAAAAAUUGUGGGGACACUCGGUCCGAAUUCGCAAUCUGUUGAAAUAAUAUCUAGUUGUCUUAAGGCUGGAAUGUCUGUGGCAAGGUUUGAUUUUUCGUGGGGUGAUACUGAAUUUCACCAAGAGACAUUGGAAAAUCUGAAGGCUGCUGUUAAGAUUACUAAGAAGCUUUGUGCUAUUAUGCUUGAGACCGGAGGUCCAGAAUUGCAAGUAGUUAAUAAAUCCGAGCACCCGAUUACCCUCGAGGCAGAUACAAAAGUAAUACUUACCCCGGAUCAAGAUAAACAAGCUACUUCAAAUCUGCUACCAAUAAAUUUUCAUGGACUAUAUAAGGCGGUUAAGAAGGGAGAUACUAUAUUUAUCGGCCAAUACCUGUUUACCGGAAAUGAAACUACAUCAGUGUGGUUAGAGGUCGACGAGUUGAAUGGUGAAGAUGUGGUUUGCCUAAUCAAGAAUUCUGCUACUCUGUCUGGGACAUUGUAUACCUUGCACGUCUCUCAAAUUCGUAUCGAAAUGCCUACUUUGACUGAUAAAGAUAAGGAGGUUAUAAGCACCUGGGGUGUUCGAAACAAUAUAGACUUCCUUUCUUUGUCAUAUACCCGGCAAGCGGAAGAUGUUCGUCAAGCUCGUUCUUUUCUUUCUAAACUGGGUGAGCUCAACCAGACUCAAAUUUUUGCAAAGAUCGAAAAUAUAGAGGGGUUAACUCAUUUCGAUGAGAUCUUACAAGAAGCAGACGGAAUCAUCUUUGCUCGGGGAACUCUCGGGGUAGAUCUCCCUCCUGAGAAGGUGUUUCUAUUUCAAAAAGCUUCUGUUUACAAGUGCAACAUGAUGGGAAAGCCUGCGGUGAUCACUCGUGUCGUGGACAGUAUGACAGACAACCUGAGACCUACUCGUGCCGAAGCAACUGAUGUUGCCAAUGCUGUGUUGGAUGGGAGUGAUGCAAUACUUCUAGGGGCAGAAACCUUGCGUGGACUAUACCCCGUCGAGACCGUCUCUACGGUUGGAAAAAUUUGUGCAGAGGCAGAAAAAGUUUUCAAUCAAGAUGUAUACUUCAAGAAAACUGUCAAACAUGUCGGAGAACCAAUGACUCAUCUGGAAUCCAUUGCUUCUUCUGCGGUACGAGCGGCUAUCAAGGUCAAAGCCUCUGCAAUUAUUUGCUUCACUUCAUCCGGACGGGCGGCGAGGCUGAUCGCAAAGUACAGACCAUUAAUGCCUGUGAUAUCUGUUGUCAUCCCUCGGCUAAGGACAAAUCAACUACGCUGGACUUUCUCCGGUGCUUUCGAGGCAAGGCAAUCCCUCAUUGUUAGAGGCCUUUUCCCCAUGCUGGCUGACCCUCGACAUCCGGCGGAGACGAAAAACGGCACGAACGAAUCUGUUUUGAAGGUCGCUUUAGAUCAUGGGAAGGCCUCGGGUAUUAUAAAGCCUCACGACCGUGUCGUCAUCUGCCAGAAGCUCGGUGAUGCAUCGGUGGUGAAGAUCAUUGAACUUGAAGAUUAGAAUGGAAGUUUGAAGGUAAUGUUGAUGAGAUGUAUCACAGUUUUACCGAGUCCAUGACCUGAAAUAAAUAUAUUGUCAAACCAUCCAUGCUUUUUGCGCGUACUUUAGGGAGUUUUGCGUCUCA